CAAUGAUUCCAUUAUCAGAUAAUCUCUCAGAUAGUGAUGCCUAUAAUAUUGUUUAUAAAGACAUGUCCUUGUCUGUUUUCCUUUCAUCACAGGAUAAUGGAAGUAAACCAAGGAGGUAUACGUGUGGGAUUGUGUCCGGAAUUGGUGGGUUCUUGGUCUCACUGACUUCAAGAAUGAAGCCGCGGACCCUCGCGCAUGUAUUUCCUAUUCUGUCUGGUUGGCUUGCUGCUUAAAAAUCAGAAUACAGAAGAGAAGACAGUCUUGUGGAGGGUCAAAGGAGCCACUGUUUGUAGUUAUUUGGGAUCUUUGAGGAAACCCCUGCUAAAAUAACUUGAUUGGAGAUUUUCCUUAGUCUGGACCAAACCUUCCCAUUAUUGGACACAGAUGGUCAGCUAGUAAUCAAUCAUCUAUAAUUAUGCUUUGGAAAAACCUCAUGAGCAAAGACCCUCGACUUGUAGUCAAAGCUACAAUUUGACAUUUCCCAGGAUUGGACGAGGCCAGUAAGGUGAAAGAGUAGAGGCCUGAAGAUUCCAGAGAGCUAGUAACAACUUCACUGAAGUGGCUGAGAUCCACAGUGUGUCAGGAGGUGUUUCUAGAGAGGUACAGUAGAUGGGAAAUGAGAGGACAUGAAUUCAGUAAGCUCCUUAACCUCCUGCCUCAUUUAUCAAAUGGGUCUGAUGAAAGUGAUAUAUAUGAAAGCACCUGGCAUAAUAUUGGUCAGAUUGUGGUGCUUGAUGAUGGAAUGGUGCAUAAAUAAAUAAACACGGGCUCUCAAUCAA
ensembl:lncRNA LINC01031 long intergenic non-protein coding RNA 1031